rnacentral:rRNA from 1 species
ACGUAGGGGGCGAGCGUUAUUCGGAAUUACUGGGUGUAAAGGGUAUGUAGGCGGCCCUUCAAGUCGCGUGUCAAAGUCCAGUGCUCAACGCUGGGUGUGCACGCGAUACUGACGGGCUUGAGGGCUGGAGAGGUGAGCGGAAUUCCCGGUGCAGGGGUAAAAUGCGUAGAGAUCGGAAGGAACACCAGCGGCGCAGGCGGCUCACUGGACAGUAACUGACGCUAAGAUGCGAAAGCGUGGGGAGCAAACAG